rnacentral:rRNA from 1 species
CCCUUAGAUGUUCUGGGCCGCACGCGUGCUACACUGAGUGGCUCAGCGGGUCAGGUUGCGCGAAAGCGUUUCCUAAUCUUUAAAUCCGCUCGUGAUGGGGAUUGACGGUUGCAAUUUUCUGUCAUGAACGAGGAAUACCUUGUAAGCGCGGGUCAUCAUCCCGCGCUGAAUACGUCCCUGCCCUUUGUACACACCGCCCGUCGCUCCUACCGAUUGAGUGGUCCGGUGAGGCUUUGGGAUCUGAGCGGAAAGAGCGUUUCGCUGUUUCUGCUCGGAAAACUCAGUCGAACCUUAUCAUUUAGAGGAAGGAGAAGUCGUAACA